GCAUAUAGCAACAAAUUCUGGUUGGGGGAUGGAGAAACAGGCUCCAGGAAGUCCCUAUCUCAUGGAAAUAUCUGGUGGGAUGGAGUGACAAGCUCCAGGAAGUCCCUGUCUUAAGGGAACAUUUGGUGGGAUGAAGUGACAAGCUCCAGCAGGUCAUUAACCAGGAGGGGUCAAGCCUUAGUUAACUAGAAAGUCCCUGUUCACCAUUAGGGAGGAAGACAGGGAGAAGGAGGAGGGAACUUGUUCUGUGGGGGCUUUGGAAUACCUAACAUACACUGCAUGACAUCUUCUAACCGUAGGGAGGGGAUAAAGAUAGAAGCCAAGUGAUCAUACCAGUGAAGUACACUUCUAGACCAUCGACAUCGAAAGUGGGGAGCUCUCUUCUGGAAUGUAAGCAUAAGGAAUAGAGAAGAUCUGGCCUAUAGCACUCAGAAGUUGGUUUCAUCCAGGAGGGAUUUUGUUCCAUAAGAGAGAGCUAACAGUGUCUGAAGACAUUUUUGAUUUCUUCACGUUUUUUGGCUCCCUGCUGGAUUUUCAGAGUGAAGUCAGAUGCAGUUUUCUGUGGGGCUGAAAUUUCACCAGGGGUAAGUUCAUUCAGAUUCUGGGUCAUUUACACUUCAAGCCUGCAAUUUGAUCUGAUUAUCACUGGCU
rnacentral:lncRNA from 1 species